GGUUGAUCGGCUAAGUCUGUGCUGGAAUUUACACGGGCUGGUGCAGUGCUUGGAGUAUCCAUGCCUAAGCUGGCAUUGGACGCUGCAGAAGUUAGAGGUGCACUAGAAUUUAUAGGAGGAAGUGAAGCUUGUUCAGAUGGUUUACCCUUGAGAGUCAAGGAACUCAUAGCCCAUCCAAGUAAACUAGCAUUUCCUGGUAAUGACGAAAUUCCCAUAGUUGCAUCUGCAGUGGUAUCUCCAGCAGUUGUCUUUUCAUGAUACUGCCUGACUAUUUGCAGAAAUUGAUCAACAGCUUGAAAUGCUUUUGAUCGAACAUCACUGUCAGCAUCAAUGGUGAGUACAACAACAUUGGGAAGAAUUCGAGUUGCAAUCUCACUUAUGUCAUAAUAAGAACUAGUCGCACAUAAUGCCAUUAUUCCUGCUCCUCUAGCUGGAGAAAAAGUGUCACGCAGAGCGCGGACUGUAAAAGCAUUAAUUAAUACUCUCUUCCUGGUCCCUUCAUUUAGAUGACUUGCAAUAUUGCCAAGUAAUAUGGUGGUGUUUGUUCUAAUUGCAGGCUCUUCAUCAACCUGCAACUUUGAAAGAUACUUCAAUAAGGAGCCUGAAAUUGUACGUUGGGAAAGCUUGGGUGCCAAAACAAGCAUGGAUUUGAGGGUCAAUUCACGAAGGAAAGCAGAUGUGUCAGAGAACCCAGUAGCAAUGUGAAGGUAAACUUGCUCGUCAACAACUUGUGCUGAUAAUGACUCUCCAUAUUGAUCAAUAUGUUGCAAGAGACUGACUCGAAUGGCAUGGUCAUUUGAGGCAAACAGUUUCACAAUUGUUGGCAAUACCUUGACAUUAAAUUCUUCAGCUGAAAGCCAAGAAC
rnacentral:misc_RNA from 1 species